rnacentral:tRNA from 1 species
GUGCUCGUAGCUCAAUUGGAUAGAGCGCCAGACUACGGAUCUGGAGGUUGGAGGUUCGACUCCUCUCGAGCGCACCA